GCGCAUUUGCUGGCCCGCUUCGGUGUGGUUCCAACACAGCCUCCACUCCACCAACCUAGCUCUCUUUCCCCAAUCCCCUUCUCCCGCACGAACCCUAGCAAUCGACAGCCGCCACAUCCUCACUCGUCCCAGCCGCCUCCAGCUUGCUUCCUCCUCCUCAAUCCUCCUGCAUUGGUCACGCCCCUCCUCCCGCAUCUCACCCAUCUCGAUGAAUCUGAGGCGUGCGGGCACGGAGGCGAGGUUCUCCGGCGGCGACUGGAACCUCCAGGCAGAGGGCGACCCCAUGGAUCCGUCCCUGUAGGAGCGAGAAGGAAGGAGAGGAUGUAGAUAUUGAGGAAAGAGGAGACCGGCCACGGAGAUGGGAUGAGAACGUCCAUGCCGAGCCAAUCGAGCCACACCUCCGGUGCGCGACCCCAGGGAGGAUUUUGCGCUGCCGUCUUCUUGAGCCAGCCUGUGCCCUGGAAGAAGGACACCAGCCGAGAAGGAUGACGUGGAGGAAAGGAUGACGUGGAGGAGGGGCUGCCUUUUCCUCGGAGAGGAGGUCGACCGUCCGAGGCAUUGUGUGGGAAUGAAGCAAAAAGCAUGAAGAAAAUAGAGCAGGUCGUGUGUCGUCGUGCACGUAGUCUGACUUCCAUUGGCGUAAUUUGUGAACAAUCAGUACUGCACCAGGUUAUCUACAGAGGAAUGCAAGGAUAACUAGAUUAAACAUUUCACAAGAUCCUCCCAAAUACAGGAACAAACUCCUUUCAAGAUAUUAUGAGUGUGCUUGAUUACCGGGGAUUGUCAGAUGAAAAGAAGAUAGGUACUAACCAUGGAAUAUUUUCCUCAUUGACGACCAGUACUCCGAUAACAAUUUAUAGAAAUUGAUAUAAUUUCACAAGUAUACAGAUAGCUGACAAGGCAGCAAUGCUAUUGUUCAAAUGUAGUCGAGUCGAGCUUUAGGUGUUUCAGAAUGAGCACACAUGUUGCUUUCUUAGAUUCAUUGCAACCAAAAGAAUUGGUAAUAUGUUUUUUCUGAAAACAAGGGUACACCUGUUGGUGUGUAUAUAUUGGCAUAGUAUUUCUUUUAUACUAAUGAUUCAUACAGACAGGAGGGGAAUUAGUAUCUAACAUCUUGGUAAAUGUAUGCUAGGGAUUUUGUGUUCAUGUAAAUUCGAUACAGAGUCCCUUUUUUAUGAUGCAUUAUGAUAAUAGAAAAGAUUUCUGAAAAUUGUGUCAUCGUAGAGCAGUCCCGUGCCAUAUUAAUGCAGAAGAAUAAAUUCUUCUACUUCAGAUGUGUAUUGUGCUUUUAAAUGCUGCUCCCGUACAGGACAUCGGCGAGAAGGGGCUCUCUGAGGCGGCUGCACUCGGUCCCCCAUGCAGCCACGCACCACAUCGUCCGGCGACGUUGAUGUCGCUGCUGCCUCAGAGACCUGGAUGAUUCUGUUGUUGGCUUCUGCUAUACUCUCUCUCUCUCUCUCUCUCUCUCUCUCUCUCUCAGUGGUGUAGGCAGAUUAAAAUGGCAGAUUCAUUCUGUAGGGAUUUGGUUAGGAGAUGAUUCAAGAUUUUGAUUAGGAAUGGUCUAGAUGUGGAUAUGAGUCAAUAAUGUUCCUCUACGUCCAGUUUGAAAGAAGAGAGUGGGUUCUCAAAUACAGUGAGAUCUUGGUUGGAGAGUGAGUAAUGCAAUAGUCUGCGUGUAGUAUGAGGUUGGAACUAAUGCUAAAUAUACUAUUGUUGGAACUAAUACUAAAUAUACAAUUUUGGUUUCUGACCAUAAUCUAGGUAUUUCCUGUUAAUAGCGGUAAUUGCCUUUGGCUCCUAGGUGCAUAUGCACCCAUUGUCGAAAUGCACAUUUCAAAAUGUUAAAAAAUUCGGAACAAAAAUCCCGCGUGUAUAUCCGGACAUUUUAUGUGUAUGCACAAGGUUUCGGUGAAAAACGAAGUUUUUUGUGGCUUGUGUAAAAAAGACAAUUUCGAAAUACUCAUUUCGAAAUGUUAAAAAAUUUGGAACAAAAAUCCCGCGUGUAGGUUGAUAGAAGCCAAAUCAAACCUACAUUUGGUGCUUAUAAGCUAAAGGUGUUAUGAGGGGAUGAAAACUGAAGUACAGAAUCUCUUAGCUUCAUAUAUUAAGUCUGAAAAGCUUCAUUUCUUAUCCAGGUUCUAUUUUCUUUCAGGCCAUCAGUUACGAUGUCUUGGCUAGAGCUACAGAUACAUUGAGAAUAAAUUUGUUUUGUUUUACUGAAUUUCUGUACAUUGUACGAAAAAGGUGCACCUAUUAUGCCCAGUAGAAAUUUCAGCUGAGCGAUUUGUGCAGACUUACAAAGCUACCAUGAUAGAUGUUAGUGACUGUAUUAUUGGGCCUAUGUUACAUCUGUAGGGUUGAAUUGAUGUCUAGAAAUACCAGAGUGACAUUUUAUCUUAUGCAGUGAUAAACUGAUAA